UGUUAGAGAGAGAACUUGUGUCGUUCAGUGUCGUGACUUUUUACACUUAUUUUUGCAAUAAUAAUUGUUAAACAAUUAUAAAUUGUUAAUAAAUCGGUUAAUUAAUCUAUUCUGAACAAAAUGUGAUAUAAAUUAUUGUAAAGUUUUGUAAAUUUUGACCAAUAAUAAUGGACAUGUCAAUGGCGUUGAAGCUGACAAAGGCAGCUAUUAAUUUGUUAAAUAAUGGACAAAUGAUAUAUAACAACAAGUGUGGCUAAAAUAUUUGAUGUGCUUAUGCAAUUAAUUCAAGAACUUAAUUAAAAAUGGGACUGAAUAAAUGACUAAAUUGGUUUGUCAUUGGUGCCAAGAUCAUUUUAGAGUCUAUUGCAUCAAAUUAUGUAAUAUCAGAUUGACAUAAUAAAAAAAGGAG